UUAGCAGGACGAAGAGACAAGAAAGAGAGACCAGAGAAACUGAGAGUUUUGCAGGAUUGUGUACUGUGCUGCCUGGGAUGGAAAGUGAAAUAAGACCUGAGUGAAAAAUGCAGGAACAACAAAUCCUAAAUUUCAAUCAAGCUUAAAGUAAGGAUAAUAGAGUAACAGUUUCAUGUUUUCUCUUUCCUCUAUGAAAUUUGUUGCAGUUUUCCUUUGGCAAUUCAAGUGUAAUCUCCAGCCACUGAGAAGAACAUCCAGAACCAAUCCCAGUUCCAGAUUAUCUGAUCUCAGAAUAGGAAAUCUGGAUUUAGUUUGUCAGCCUGGAAUGGGAAUGACAGAACUCUGAGGAUGAAGAAUUCUUUAUGUUCAAAACAAAGUGGGUUUUUCAUUUAAUUAACUUUUUCAUUUUUUCCUUUUCCAUGUUCAUACAGUUCAUAAGCUGUAUCAAUUGAUUUUGCACAUAUAUCAAAGAAGAGGAACCAGAGCUAAAGAAGUAAUUAAAGAAAAACAGUACAUUUCAUGGAAGUUUGAAAGGACAGUUUUGCUUGCUUGUUUCCUUGGAUCAUAUGUAGAUUUGUUAAAUCUGAAGAAGAAUGUUUUGGAAAGUAUUACUGUAGUUCUUCUUUUACUGUUUACAACAAAAUACACUUUAGAAUGCCUUCACAUCUAUUCCAGAUCAUAAUCUUCUGAAACUGAUUUAGUGGGUAUUUGGAAACUGCUGGCAGGGGAGAGGAAUUCAUUCUUCCAGAAGUGCUGGUUCCAAGAAAUUCUCAAACUUUGGGGAACCGCAAGUACAGACAAAAUGAGGAGUAAAGCCCAGAACAAUGUUGACAGCACAACUGUCACUCCUGAGUGUGCAAGCCUGAUUAUACUUUUAACAGAUAUUUUAAAGCACAACAAAGAAUAAACAAAUUAGCAAACUAACAAAAAAGAUUGUUAGAUAAUAUUGUUAAAGAAAAAUAAUGUAACAUUAGAACAUGUCUUUUAAAAGGUAACAAUUACAUCUGUUUGCCUUGUAAGCUGUCCUGCUUUUGCUCAUUGUUGAUUGUUCGUGAAACCAAUUUUUUUGUUGCAGCUGUGUAUUUUCUUUAUUCUGAAUUAUUAUAUUGAUGUUUGUAACUGUAUUCACCACCCAGAGUUCUUACUUGGA